CCUACGGGUGGCAGCAGUGGGGAAUAUUGCACAAUGGGGGGAACCCUGAUGCAGCCACGCCGCGUGGGUGAAGAAGUACUCCGGUAUGUAAAGCCCUGUCAGCAGGGAAGAAAAUGACGGUACCUGACCAAGAAGCCACGGCUAACUACGUGCCAGCAGCCGCGGUAAUACGUAGGGGGCAAGCGUUAUCCGGAUUUACUGGGUGUAAAGGGAGCGUAGACGGCAAGGCAAGUCUGGAGUGAAAGCCCGGGGCCCAACCACGGGACUGCUUUGGAAACUGUGUUGCUGGAGUGCAGGAGGGGUAAGCGGAAUUCCUAGUGUAGCGGUGAAAUGCGUAGAUAUUAGGAGGAACACCGGUGGCGAAGGCGGCUUACUGGACUGUAACUGACGUUGAGGCUCGAAGGCGUGGGGAGCAAACAGGAUUAGAUACCCUUGUAGUC
rnacentral:rRNA from 1 species